rnacentral:lncRNA from 1 species
AUCACAAGUUGGGAAAGAGAAUGGAGAGGAUUCCCUGUAAGGAGAGAGAGUCCUUAUAUGGGCCACCAAAAUGUCAUGGACUUUCUUGCAAAAAUGCCUGUUUGGGAUUCCUCAGAGUACAGACAAAAAGGAAGGCUUGAUCAGCAUGUGGUGGAUCUGAAGAUUCAAAGAGGUGCCACAGCUCAAAAGUAGACAUUUUGGCAAAUGUGAAGAAGUGAGAUUCAAUGAAGAUGAUAAGAAAUGAAAGGUGUUACCAAAAGGGGUUGUCUGCUUAUGAGCUGCACCACCGAGCAGCAUGCCUAUCAGCGAGAAGGUGCCUGACAAUUCUCAGUUGAAAUGUCCUGACCAAGUUCCCCCAGAAAUUUAUGACUAAUAACAAAAGGGAAAAGCUACCCUCACAAGGAGAUGUCCAGUUGACACUAUCUCAACCAAAAUUAUUAAACAUAGCAUCAGCAAUCGUGGGACAAACAGACGCAAACAUCUCCUGGUGUGAGGCGAGGAAAGAAGACGACUUUACCAUGUGAACCCCUGUGGCUUCCUCAGAGACUGUCUGCUCUGGCACAUGCUCCUCCAGGUCUU